UCCUUUUCUGGGAGAAUGUUCGCUUUCUGGUCUAUUAUUGUACAUGAUUGCUCUGUGAAAAGACUUCAUCUAUGCAGCCUUGUUUGAUUCAUUUCCUUUGGUGUGUUCUGUUGUUAAGAGCAAAUUGUAUUAUAGAGCUAUUUGGAUAUUUUAAAUAUAAAGAUGUAUUGUUUCCAUAAUAUAGAUGUAUGGAGUAUAUUUAGGUGAUAGAUGUACAACUUGGAAAGUUCUGCUUGGACAAACUGAGUCUAAGUUAAUUAGCAAAUAAUAUAUCCUGAUGAGCAGGAAGCCCUGAAACCUAACAACAGUAAGCGGAGAAAAUCACUUAAAAUGGAAACAGUUCCCCAAAGGUGUUCAAUUUGAACUUGUUCAACUGCUUAAUAUAUGGUCCCCCCCCCCCCCAAAAAAAAAACCUUGAAGUUCUUAGUUUUCAGCUCUCCAAGUUACUGAUUUUAAGUGAAGUUUCUCUGUGGUUUCAGCUGGGGAGUGAUUGUUCAGUAGAGUGUGCAUUGUGCUUUAUGCAAACCAAACAGCCUGGCCCUGUGGCCGGGGACAGACAGACAGCCCGUCAGGAUAGAGUCCCGCCCUUCGCCACCACAGCGGACUUGAGUAACAGUGCAGAUGCCUUGCUCCUGUUCCAUUGCUAUCUGAGAAGUGCCUGAUGAGGAUGGUAAACUUACAGACACAAGAACAAUCCUUACUGUGCGUUGUAUAAAGCCAUAAAUGUACAUAAAUCAUCUUAAGUGGCUUGGUGUGUGUCUUUCCUAGUGUUCAAAGGUUCCUGAGCGAGCAUGUUUUUAUUCAGUCAUCAAGCACUUGAGUUAGACCGUCAACCCCAGUGUUAAUGGCGUAUGACCAAACCAUGGCCCCUGAUGUGAAGAAGUGCAAUCUAAACUUAGCAAACCGUCUAGAGAGCAAUGGUUCUCAGUGUGUGAGGAAUGACCCCUUGAGGGGUUAUCAAAUGACCCAUUCACAGAGAUUGCAUAUCACAUAUCCUGACAAUCAUAGCAUUACGAUUCAUAACAGCAAAAUUGCAGUUAUGAAUUAACAACAAAAACAGUUUUGUUAAAUGGUUAGGGGUCAACCUGACAAACUACAUUUAAGGGUCUCAGCAUUAGGAAAGUUGAGAACCACUGGCCUAGAGUCUGGCAUGGUGUCAUAUGGCUUUAUUCCUAACACUUGGUAGUCAGAGAUAAGUGGGUCUCUCAGAGUUAGAGGCCAGCCUGAUCUAUAUGGUGUGUUUCAGGAUAGCCAGGACUUCAUAGACCUUAAAUAGUCUAGACUUUUUUAUUCUUGGAAUAUCUGGAACCCCAUUUAGGCCAGUAAUUAUAAGCAUGAAACCUUGCUUAAUACCAGACUGAAGGCAAACUAGGGCGAGACAAAAGCGGGGUCAUGGUUAGUGUAAACACAAGGAGAUGUGGCCGACAGGGUGGCUUUCCCAGGCCAAAUGAUCCCAAGUAUACAUUUUGUUCAGAGAGGAUCUCUGGCUGCAGCGCAGAGGGGUGGCAGUGUGUUUGCUCUUGCCAAAAGCUGCCGGAGAAACGAGGAUUCUGUUAAUAGUUCUGACUGCUUUAAAAGAAGGUUCUGCUCUUUUCCCUCUACCAGACAAGCAGACGAGUUAAUAUAACAGAGAAAUGGGGAAUUCUAGGGAUUUAUUGUUUAGAUAGCGAAAGGUCAGUCAGCUUGGGGUGUGUUCCUCUGCCUCCCCCGCUACCCACCGCAGUCUCUUCUAACAGAACCUGUUCUUUGAAAAUGUAGUACCCAAAGGCCAAUAUAUAUAACCCAAAAUCAAAAGACAAGCUAAACCCUGAGGCUCGUGCACAUAGUUGUGAAACGUUUGGUGGGGUCCAAAUGUGGAACUCCCUGAUUGGUUUAUACUAAUGGAGCUCAGAAACCUGCCGGCUCCACUUCCUGAGCAGUCCUGAAUUGAUGAAUGGCUGAAGACUUAAGAAGAUUUUCAACAGCGUUUGGGCUCUGCUGUGGACUAGAGAUGACCAUAGUCUGUCUAUACAUGUAUACUUAGGGUAACUUUAGGACCAGCUUAUUCUACAGUCUUUGUCUUGGAUGCUGUUUCUCUAUAGGCUGAAACGACCUCACAGUGGUGGAACUAGUUCCUCUGACAGUGGUUGUAUGGUUGAGUUCCAUAGGAGGGCUGACCCCAAGAGCUGUACUAAGAACAAGUCUCUGAAGCACAUCCUGCCAGACACAGUAAACCUUACAUCAUUUAAAAGUGCUCAGGACAGGCUUCUGGGCCUAUAACUGGGAUGCAGUGACAUUGUAGGAGGGUUGCGUGCACUAAAGUCAUCAUGUAAGGGUAAUGACAACUGCAGCCUCUGGCCAGUGGUUUCUGUUCUCCCCUUGAAUAACGAAACAUUAGAAACAACCACCUAAACUAGAGCAAAGGGCUUUGAUGACGAUGUGCAUACACAGGCUUAAGGUGCUUUCAAGUCCACUGACUUGGAAAUGGCUGAAGAAGGAAAGAGGGAGGAGGUAAUUGGGAAACGAGGCAUUACAGGGAGCCACCAAAAGAAAAGCUGUAAGCCCAAGGAUCCCUUGAGCCCACAGUAUUGUGCAUCUAGAAGUUCGUGGAGGUGGCUCUUACUGUGUGACCGGGCUGCACUUGGGCCUCCUGACCGCUGAGCUCACAGGCGUGUGUCCCCCCGUCUGGUGAGCUUUCUUUCAGAGAGUGUCUAUGUUGGUACCUGAGGAAGUUCACACUGAGAAGACAUUCAAAUCGCCCCCAAAUAUUCCUCAUAAACUCCUGCCAGAGAACAGUGUCAAGCCAUUAACAAGUUCACAUGCCCCAUCAAUAAUGUACUGGACGCUGCCAACUGAAGGAGUAGAUUCUCGGCCUCCGGGAAGAAAGAGCAACUUUGCAAAAGGCUUCUUAACUCCUGGUAUUUGAGAGACAUGUAACAUAGCACAGGCUAGCUUAGAAGCCAUUAUUCUUCUUCAGCAUCCUGAGUGAUGGGGUUACAGGUGUGCCCUGCUAUACAUCCAUCACUCACUCUUUACAUAUUUCACAAGCUCCUCUCUUUAGUCAGCAGCUUUCUGAAUCCUCUCAGAAGUGUAUAAAGUUACUCCAAAAUUUCGUUGCUGAAAUAAAGUGACAAGACUUUGGCUCAACAGUUUGAGGACAUUCCUCUCAUCCCAGACUGGCAAGGCGAGUCUGGUGGGUAAGAAUGGCUGAUGGUGCUGGCAUUCCUCUCUUCCCCUUGCUCCUGAGAUGGCUCUGUCCAGGGCAGUCCUCUUCCUGCUACUCUAACGGGUCUCAGGGACACAGCCAGAGAGGUUUGCCUCACUGUGCUUAAUUGAUUGGAACUUCCCCCUGGCCCUGUUCUUGCCAGGCAAGAAGAGCUCUAUACUAAAUUAUAUUCAAGCCUAUCUGAAGAGCUUGGAAAUGCAGUCACAUUGAUGGAGACUUACCAUCACUGUGUAAAUACAUCUAUGCCGUACUGGCCUCUAAGAAUUGCUGGAGUUUCAGGAUUCUUGUUAAUUUACUGACAUUUCUGCCUAAAUGAGUAGACCUUAGAUGAACCAUUAGAGUACAUAUUUUACUGAACCUUUUUUUUUUUUUUUUUACUUUCUUUUGUCUUUUUCGAGACAGGGUUUCUCUGUGUAGCCCUGACUGUCCUGGAACUCACUUUGUGGACCAGGCUGGCCUUGAACUCAGAAAUCUGCCUGCCUCUGCCUCCCAGGUUCUGGGAUUAAAGGCGUGCGCCACCACCACCCAGCUUACUGAACCAUUUCAAACUGGUUUUCUAACUGAUGAAUUGAGACAGGAGCCUAUUUGCACUUCAGUCCUUGAUGUCAGAUAUGCCAUGGGAACCUGCUACUCUGGAAACAGUUGGAGCCUCUGC
rnacentral:lncRNA from 1 species